rnacentral:rRNA from 1 species
UUAGGAAUCUUGCGCAAUGGGGGAAACCCUGACGCAGCGACGCCGCGUGGGUGAAGAAGGCCUUCGGGUUGUAAAGCCCUGUCACCUGGGACGAAUGGUAUAGAGGGGAAAGUUCUCUAUAUUUGACGGUACCGGGGGAGGAAGCACCGGCUAACUCUGUGCCAGCAGCCGCGGUAAUACAGAGGGUGCAAGCGUUGUUCGGAUUUAUUGGGCGUAAAGAGCGUGUAGGCGGUAAUGUAAGUCUGAUGUGAAAUCCUUGGGCUCAACCUGAGAACUGCAUUGGAUACUGCGUUACUAGAGUGUCGUAGGGGUUACUGGAAUUCCUGGUGUAGAGGUGAAAUUCGUAGAUAUUAGGAAGAACACCGGUGGCGAAGGCGGGUAACUGGACGAUAACUGACGCUGAGACGCGAAAGCGUGGGGAGCAAACAGG